ACUCCUACGGGAGGCAGCAGUGGGGAAUAUUGCACAAUGGGGAAACCCGUACAUGCAGCCAUGCCGCGUGUGUGAAGAAGGCCUUCGGGUUGUAAAAGCACUUUCAGUAGGGAGGAAGGUAGUGUAGUUAACACCUGCACUAUUUUGACGUUACCUACAGAAGAAGCACCGGCUAACUCCGUGCCAGCAGCCGCGGUAAUACGGAGGGUGCGAGCGUUAAUCGGAAUUACUGGGCGUAAAGCGCAUGCAGGCGGCCUGUUAAGUCAGAUGUGAAAGCCCGGGGCUUAACCUCGGAAUUGCAUUUGAAACUGGCAGGCUAGAGUCUUGUAGAGGGGUGAGAAUUGAUCAGGUGUAGCGGUGAAAUGCGUAGAGAUCUGAAGGAAUACCAGUGGC
rnacentral:rRNA from 1 species